UACGUAGGGGGCGAGCGUUGUCCGGAUUUAUUGGGCGUAAAGAGCGUGUAGGCGGUUCGGUAAGUCUGUCGUGAAAUCCUGAGGCUCAACCUCGGACGUGCGAUGGAUACUGCCGGGCUAGAGGAUGGUAGAGGCGAGUGGAAUUCCGCGUGUAGCAGUGAAAUGCGUAGAGAUGCGGAGGAACACCGAUGGCGAAGGCAGCCCCCUGGGCCGACAUUGACGCUCAGGCACGAAAGCGUGGGGAGCAAACAGG
rnacentral:rRNA from 1 species